GACGAACGCUGGCGGCGUGCUUAACACAUGCAAGUCGAACGGAAAGGCCCUGCUUUUGUGGGGUGCUCGAGUGGCGAACGGGUGAGUAACACGUGAGUAACCUGCCCUUGACUUUGGGAUAACUUCAGGAAACUGGGGCUAAUACCGGAUAGGAGCUCCUGCUGCAUGGUGGGGGUUGGAAAGUUUCGGCGGUUGGGGAUGGACUCGCGGCUUAUCAGCUUGUUGGUGGGGUAGUGGCUUACCAAGGCUUUGACGGGUAGCCGGCCUGAGAGGGUGACCGGCGACAAUGGGACUGAGAUACGGCCCAGACUCCUACGGGAGGCAGCAGUGGAGAAUAUUGCACAAUGGGCGGAAGCCUGAUGCAGCAACGCCGCGUGCGGGAUGACGGCCUUCGGGUUGUAAACCGCUUUCGCCUGUGACGAAGCGUGAGUGACGGUAAUGGGUAAAGAAGCACCGGCUAACUACGUG
rnacentral:rRNA from 1 species